rnacentral:lncRNA from 1 species
CUGGGGAGAAAGGGCCUGGGGACCGGACCGUGGGAGGGGGUGGCUUAGUGAAGAAGCCAGCACACUGGGGUCCGAGUUGCCCCGGCUGGGCUCUCUGAAGCCUUGGGAUGUGCCUGGCACUGUGCUGGGGAGGCGCUUGCAUCCUUCUUCGCGCUCGAGUUAAAUGAGCACUUAUUAAGCUCCAGUCCCUGUGCUGGGUUCUGAGCAUACAGUGGUGCAGAGAAAACCGUGUUUCUCCUCUCCUGAGCUCACACUGUGGUUGAGGGAGUGGGGAUGGAGACAACGCCUGAACAUGCCGUGCUGUAGGCAGUGAGGAUAAAGGCUGGGAAGAAAAGAAACUAGGACUCAUGGGUGAAGCGCUUCUCAGGGGGCCCAACAGGCCCGGCUCCCCCACCUGCCAGACAGUUUGGCGAGAUGAGUGUCCACAUCCCACCGCGGGGGAACAGGUUUUCCCAUUCAGGAGGAACCUGCAAAGGAGGGGGAGUGAAAUGGAGACAUCUGCUGGCCAGAGAUGGGAUGUGCACGUGGAUGCCUCCCAGCCCUGCUGGAUGCUAUCAGCUCACCCUUCCUGGUGAAGGGAAAAUGCUCUACAAGGCAAAGAGAAUCUGCUUUCCUGUUGUCCGUGAGCUAGAUGGCAGCUACCCUUCAACUGGAGUAUCCUUCUGUAGGUGACCUUGUUCUCUCCAUACCCACUCGGUGGGCUGGGUCCCCAUCCCUGAUUUAUCUGAGUGGGGGACCUGACCUGAACCAUUGGCAUCCUGGAGCUGAAUGUAGAAAGACCUGGCCACACCUCUGUUCCAUCGGUCACUACCACCCUUCUUCCAGCGCCCCCAUGGCUCCACCUUGUCCCCACACGAGGUGGAGUGAAGAGGCGGCAGGCAAGGUCUCCCUGAAACAUCUGAUGAUUCACUAUUGACUCCAUCACUCUUGUGAGGAAGAAAAUAUUUUUAGGAAGAUCCAAGCAAUUUCCUCGGAGGUUCCACUGACCAACACUGAGCCAACACUCACCUCUAAAUACAAAAGAAGCUGGGAAAGGUGGCAUCUGGAACCUUCAGUUCUCUGGCACAUGAGAAGAGUAGAGAAAUGACAAUGGUGGAGUCAGCCACUGGUGGUUUUGUUUAUUUAAAAUUUUGUAACUAUUUCAAACGUCUCUGUCUUUUCUAUAGUUUUUAGGUUUGUUUCUAUAAAUAAGCUGUAAAAUUCUUGAACAGUAAAAAUUGUGACUUCCGUG